UUGGGAAUCUUGGACAAUGGGGGAAACCCUGAUCCAGCCAUGCCGCGUGAGUGAUGAAGGCCUUAGGGUUGUAAAGCUCUUUCGCACGCGACGAUAAUGACGGUAGCGUGAGAAGAAGCCCCGGCUAACUUCGUGCCAGCAGCCGCGGUAAUACGAAGGGGGCUAGCGUUGUUCGGAAUUACUGGGCGUAAAGCGCGCGCAGGCGGGUCAUCAAGUCAGAGGUGAAAGCCCGGAGCUUAACUCCGGAAUAGCCUUUGAAACUGUUGAUCUUGAGUACGGGAGAGGUGAGUGGAAUUCCCAGUGCAGAGGUGAAAUUCGUAGAUAUUGGGAAGAACACCAGUGGCGAAGGCGGCUCACUGGCCCGUUACUGACGCUCAGGCGCGAUAGCGUGGGGAGCAAACA
rnacentral:rRNA from 1 species